GGAAGGCCAGGGAUGGAGUGUUUAAACCUCCCGCUCCGCGUCCUUUCUCCGCUCCGCCUCAGUCUCCGCCAGGGAGGGCCACCCUGAGUCUGCGCGGUUUGAGAUUAAAAAUGGUGUCUGCCUCAUAAAGUGGUUGUGAGGAUUAAAUGAGGACACUUGUAAAUUGCUUGAUAUGGUGCCAGGACAGAAUAAAUGUUCAAUAAAAAAUGUUUCAGAGAAGUUAAGUACCUUGCUGAAAGAUAAACAGCAGAAAUUGCCACGGCUACCCCAACCUUCAGCAACUACCACCCUGACCAGUCAGCAGCCAUCAACAUCAAGGCAAAACCCUCCAUCAGCAAGAAGAUUAUGACCUGCUAAAGGCUCAGCUCACAGGGAAACAUUCUGACCGUGCCCACCUGUGAACAGCUGCAAGAAAGAAGAAAAUACAUCCCCUCCCUGAGGCUGGCCAAACCAGGAGAUGUUUUGCAAGACUUAUGGCCUUUUUAUUUUACUUCCUCACCUCCUCCCCCUCUCUGUUCUAUAAAAGAAACUAGCAUCCAGACCCUGAUAAAUGGUAUUCUAGGACAUUAGUCCGCGAUCUUCUUGGAUGCUUGGCUUUCUGAAUAAAGUCCCUAUUCCUUGCCUCGACAUCUCAUCUCCCCAUUUAUUGGCUUGUCAUGUGGCGAGCAGAGCGAGCUUGGACUCAGUAACAAAUUUGGCUUAGCCAGCCAGGAGUCUUGCUGUUCAUGGCUAACUGGCCCCGAUCAGGCAAUUUUGGGGCAAGGCCCUAGCAGCUGCUGGGACAAUUUGUUUUAAGGAUCUUUCCUUCAAAAAAUUCCUUGAAGUGACACUGGCUACCCCAGAGCUCGGCAUUUGGAGCAAGGAAUCAACAAACUUCUGCAAGUCGACAGACUCAAUCUUUAUAGGCUCACAGGGAAACACCCUGACCCUGCCCACCUGUGACUGGCUGCAGAAAAGAAGAAAUUAUCACAUCUCCUCCCUGAGGCUGGCCAAAACCAGGAGAUAUUUUGCAAGACUUAUGGCCUUUUUAUUUUACUUCCUCACCUCCUCCCCCUGUCUGUUCUAUAAAAGAAAGUAGCAACCAGACCCCGAUAAGAUGGUACUCUAGGACGCUAGUCCGCCAUCUUCUCGGAUGCCCGG